rnacentral:rRNA from 1 species
GACGAACGCUGGCGGCGUGCUUAACACAUGCAAGUCGAACGGAAAGGCCCUGCUUUUGUGGGGUGCUCGAGUGGCGAACGGGUGAGUAACACGUGAGUAACCUGCCCUUGACUUUGGGAUAACUUCAGGAAACUGGGGCUAAUACCGGAUAGGAGCUCCUGCUGCAUGGUGGGGGUUGGAAAGUUUCGGCGGUUGGGGAUGGACUCGCGGCUUAUCAGCUUGUUGGUGGGGUAGUGGCUUACCAAGGCUUUGACGGGUAGCCGGCCUGAGAGGGUGACCGGCCACAUUGGGACUGAGAUACGGCCCAGACUCCUACGGGAGGCAGCAGGGGGGAAUAUUGCACAAUGGGCGGAAGCCUGAUGCAGCAACGCCGCGUGCGGGAUGACGGCCUUCGGGCUGUAAACCGCUUUCGCCUGUGACGAAGCGUGAGUGACGGUAAUGGGUAAAGAAGCACCGGCUAACUACGU